rnacentral:lncRNA from 1 species
UGUCUGACAUAAAUAUAUCGGGAGUAUGUACCGCAGCUGAGUCCGUUGUAAGCGCCGUAUCAGUCCUAUUCAUAUCUCCCCGUGUGUUUGAUACGCGUGCCAGGCCGGACUUUCGUGGCCACGGAGGGCGCCGACAGCAUCGCACUGGUACUUAAUUAUAGACGCGCGUUGCGAAUUGUGGACUGUUCGGUCAACGAGGUAUUUCCGCGUCGGUCUCACUUUCCCGUGACGCUCUGGCAAAGUGUUACGUAAGGAUAUUCUGGACUAAGUUGCGUGGCUUUCACGAUGACUGGACUGACGAGGAAUUUCAGGGGAAGCAGGGGAAGCGCCGGCAGCGCCGAAGGCUCUUCGUCGACAUGUCGCGAGGUCGGAGUCGGCCGACUGUCCAUCAUCUCCGAGAACAUCGUGCGGCUCAACAGGUUCCUGGCCCUUCUUACGCUCCACCUGGGAUCCGCGCAAGGACGUCAUCUCUCGCCGAAAGGAUCUACCAGGCGUUCCUGUUGCGAGAAGCAUCAGGACCGUUGCAAAAAAGCGACAACAGACUCCGUCACAUGAUUUAGUGGUUGGGAACCCUGCUGCCGACGACGUCAAAAGCCGGUUGCGACUAAACUACAUGCGGUACAGCAAGACUUUCACCUCGAAGAAUCGAACCAACUUAUUCCAUGACUCUUUUACUCCGAGAACACAUCAGUACUGGAACCUCCUUCCUGCAUCCAUCGCCACCUUCCCGGACACCGCGAACUUCAAUU